CAUCCCCACCUCCCCACGAAUAGUUAACUUCCUCCCUCUACUCACUUCUUCCUUGAUUAUCUACAGUUCUCCACAUCACACGGCCAAACAUGUGGAAAAGGGGGGCGACACAACUUUAUCUCCUUGCAGACCUCCCUAAAAAAUAUCUCACUACGGGCCGCCACCACAAAUGCUCAAUCGAUCUCACCUGAUCCACCACCGCCGCCACAAAUCCUCCAUCGUUCUCACCUGAUUUCCCUGCACCGCCGUUGGCUUGGCGCACAUCUAGGUUUCCCAACUUGGUCCUUGGGCAUGAGGGUUCCCUCCCACGGUAUGUAGAUCACGGCUGGACAAGAAACUGUCACGGUGCCGCUGGCCAUGUCCACCGCCGGCACCAUCGCGCUCUUCCUGGAAGCCCCGCUCCCCGCGCUCCAUUUCGAUAGUCACCACAGGGAACAACUACAAGAGGAAGACGCACAAGUGUGCGCGCGAAGGUGUCGAAGAUGCGGCAGGGAUGGGGAAGGUUAUGCCUCGCUGCACCAGGAGGUAGCAUCUACUCUGCUAUAAGAAUGCUAAGCAAAGUAAGUGGCUCUGCAAGAUGGUAUAUGCUUCUUCAGUUUACGCACAUUUUUUCUUCCUUUUUCAGCUAAUCAUAGUUCAGUUAUGAGAAGUCAAUAAGAAUUCAGUACUGCCAGAAAUGUCCAUGGUCAUGUAGUUUGGUUGGUGUCAUGUUCGGAAUGCCUGGUGAGAUUUCCAGGACUUCAUUUGAGUUGUUCCUUUCUUUGCACCAUCUAGGUUCAGCCAAAAUAUAGCUUCUCCUUUGUACUCCUAUGAUCCUAUCUAGAUCUCAAUGUGCAGGUUGUUAUUACUUUGGCUGAACCUGGAUGGUGCAAAGUCAGGCUUGCUUCUCUCAGUUUCCUAUCUAGAUCUCCAUGUGCUGGUUGUUACUAGUUGUCUUGAUUUAUUUAGAUAAAUACCACUUUGUUUACCUCUUGUUUGAUAGGAAUUUGGAUCAGAUGUCAAUAGCGUAGGGGCAGGGGGCUACUCGAUGGGCCAAAAAAUCGGAGGUUUGGUUGCAGUUCCCAAAUGCACAGCAGCGGAGCGACGACUCCCAUAUGCACAACGGUGGCACGACGACUACGAGAUGUACAGAAGUGGUACAGCCGCUCCACAGUGAUGGUUUGUAGUGCAGUACGGUCAGCUAAGCCAUCUGCCCCAUCCCGUCCAAUCCAAUACAAUAGCUCAGUCACCUAGGCUGAUAUGUCCAUUCAUAUUUCUAAUGCCACAUUAACGCAUCAAUGAUUAGUGGUUGGCAUUUACUGUAGUUUUUUGCGACUCUCUAUGGGUUUGUGUUUCUCGUAUCUCUAUUAAUUUAUACUUCUCGAUAGGGUCUUAGCCAUAUUCCUACAAUACAAUGCAAUAUGCAGCAGCUAUAAGUUAUACGGAUAUUACUAGUUGUAGUUGCAGCUAUUAAUUUUGUAUUAGUAUAGUUGUUCAGUCAAGUAGGAAAACUUAGAUGCAUGUACAUGUAUGGAACUGACUAUGCAGUAUUUAAGUUUCCAGCAAUUUUUCGUUGAAAAACUAAUCACUGUUGAAAAAGUAGCUUCCAAUUUUGACAGUGAUCUUUUACUGCAAACACUGAACCAUCUCACUUGACAAAGUUUAUCUAUUAAUUAAAUAUAUUGGCAAUACCAAAAUGCAUCAAUUUCUCAGUAUUUUAGAUUGUCUUGAGAGAGUUCAAAUUCAGAGUAACAUUUGGUCUAGAGACUUUGUGUGAGUAAUGAUUUUCUGUUGACUUAUCCAUUCUAACCAUGGUACUGGCUUAUGGAGAUCAUAGUUUCUCUAUGGAGAAAAUUUAAUGUCAGUAUACAUACAUUCAAAAUAUUGUUUUGUGGUCUUCUAAAUUACCAAUACAUAUGUUGUAACUUCGGGCUACAGAAACUGAAUUGUUUCAGGUAGUGAUGACAUUACGUGGUGACUGAUGUCAAACGACAACACAUGGUUCAGGUUUGCCGCUUGUAUUUUACUACAUUUAAGUGUAGUACGUGAAUGUAUAAUUAGAAUAUAUAGCUUUGAAAUCACAACUUGUAAAUCCUAGCACCACCACUAGUUCCAUGUCAAUAUUCUUGGCACUUAAACAUGGAAGAUCACUAGUGCCAGAUAGGAAUUUUUAUGAUGUAAUUUGUAACUGUAGUUCUAUCACUACAAAGGGAAAUUGGACUACUAAUUGCCAUCCUGAAUAUUAUUUCUUAUCUACCAUAUACCUAUCUUUUCCCCCCACCUAAUUUGCACAAAAAUAACACUUUUCUUGCAUGCUGCUUCUACGAGAUAUGACUCGUUACAACUAGAUCAGGUAAACCAGUUCAUCACAUACUGUGUGUGUAAAUUACAUUCCCUUGCUUCCUAUAAAACACUAUUUCUAUCGACAUGAUGAAACUUAAUUAUGGAAUGAGGUGAGUUAGUUUAGUACGCUAAUAUCUACUUACAGCUACAGAUGUGUGAUACUUUCCAAAUCUAACUAGUCUGGGUUUUGCGAAUAUAUCACACCAUAUUCACUCAUGCUAUCGCCGACUAGUCACAUAAGUUUAUUCUAUUUCAAUUAGAUAUGUAGUUUUUCUAUGGUUAAGAAACUAAUGACUUGUUGUUUUUCUUCCGUAGAGAUGUACAUGUAGAGUUGGUGCUACAUUAGCAAAAUCUGACCCGUUGACACGACCACUAAAAAUGUUAAAAAUUAUUGGCCAUGCAGCCGGAUUAAUUAUUGCAUAGCCUUCAACCUUAGAUUGUUGCUCUUCUAAAUUUUGCUGCUCUAUUAACCUUUUUUUCUACCAUAAGUUACUGAUCUCAUUUCUGUAUUUUUGUAGAUUCAUAAGAUAUUUUGACGAUGCAUGGCUUAGACGUUGAUUGCAAGGUCCAGAAUGGUGCUACUGGAUAGUCUUAUCACCUGAUUGCAAGGUUGAGAAUGGUGUUGUUGCUGGAUAGUUUUAUCAUGUGACUGCAAGGUCGAGAGUGGUGGUGCUGCUAUAUAGUCUAAUCAUCUGAUUGCAAGGUCGAGAAUGGUGUUGCUGUUGGAUAGUCUUAUGUUAUAUUUUAGGAUAUCAUUUCCAGUGUCAAUGUUUCAAAAAUUCUAAUUUCGAAUAGUUGAGAAAAUGAUUGAAAGAUCCAGAAUUUGGCUAGUACUAUAAUCUUUGGAUCAUGUUGUUUGUAAUGCAAUAGAGGAAAUUAUAUA